UACAGAGGGUGCAAGCGUUAAUCGGAAUUACUGGGCGUAAAGCGUGCGUAGGUGGUUUGUUAAGUCAGGUGUGAAAUCCUCGGGCUCAACCCGGGAACUGCGCUUGAUACUGACUAACUAGAGUGUGGUAGAGGAUAGUGGAAUUCCCGGUGUAGCGGUGAAAUGCGUAGAUAUCGGGAGGAACAUCAGUGGCGAAGGCGGCUAUCUGGACCAACACUGACACUGAGGUACGAAAGCGUGGGUAGCAAACAGG
rnacentral:rRNA from 1 species